rnacentral:rRNA from 1 species
AUUGAACGCUGGCGGAAUGCUUUACACAUGCAAGUCGAGCGGCAGCGCGGGGCAACCUGGCGGCGAGCGGCGAACGGGUGAGUAACACAUCGGAACGUACCCAGAAGUGGGGGAUAGCCCGGCGAAAGCCGGAUUAAUACCGCAUACGACCUGAGGGAGAAAGUGGGGGACCUAGGGUAACUUGGGCCUCACGCUUUUGGAGCGGCCGAUGUUCGAUUAGCUAGUUGGUGGGGUAAAGGCCUACCAAGGCGACGAUCGAUAGCUGGUCUG